GGCUGGUCCUAUGGUUAGUGGGUUAUCAGAAUUUAUUAACAUUAGUGUCACUAAAGUUGGUAAUCAACCCCCCACUGCUAAAUUUGACUGGCUUUAA
ensembl:misc_RNA Y_RNA Y RNA